AAUGAACGCUGGCGGCAUGCCUAAUACAUGCAAGUCGAGCGAAAAGACGAGGAGCUUUCGCCUCUGACGGUAGCGGGUGGCGGGUGGGUAACGCAUGCAUAACCUUCCUCUAAUACUGGGGGGACUACGGAGGGCAGCAGCCGAUACCAGCGCAUACGAUCAACGGCAGAGUGCAAGAGUGCAAGACAGCUUUCGCGUUUGUAUUAGCUGAAGUCGGGCCGCAUUAGCUAGUUGGUAAGGUAACGGCCAACCAAGGCGACGAUGCGUAGCCGAUCUGAGAGGGUGAUCGGCCACACUGGAACUGAGACACGGUCCAGACUCCUACGGGAGGCAGCAGUAGGGAAUAUUGCGCAAUGGGCGAAAGCCUGAUCCAGCCACGCCGCGUGAGUGAUGAAGGUCUUCGGAUCGUAAAGCUCUGUUAUUAGGAAAGAACAACAGUGUAAUUAACCAUGGCCGUCCUGACGGUACCCAAAGAGAAAGCACCGGCUAACUUCGUG
rnacentral:rRNA from 1 species